CCUACGGGAGGCAGCAGUAGGGAAUAUUGCUCAAUGGCGGAAACCCUGAAGCAGCAACGCCGCGUGAAGGAUGAAGGUUUUCUGAUUGUAAACUCCUUUUGUUAGGGAAGAUAAUGACGGUAUGUAACGAAUAAGCACCGGCUAACUCCGUGCCAGCAGCCGCGGUAAUACGGGGGGUGCAAGCGUUACUCGGAAUCAAUGGGCGUAAAGAGCGCGUAGGCGGGAUAGCAAGUCAGAUGUGAAAUCCUAUGGGUUAAACAUAGAACUGCAUUUGAAACUGUUAUUCUAGAGUAUGGGAGAGGUAGGUGGAAUUCUUGGUGUAGGGGUAAAAUCCGUAGAGAUCAAGAGGAAUACUCAUUGCGAAGGCGACCUGCUAGAACAUAACUGACGCUGAUGCGCGAAAGCGUGGGGAGCAAACAGGAUUAGAUACCCGAGUAGUC
rnacentral:rRNA from 1 species